rnacentral:rRNA from 1 species
AUGUAUAUUAGGGUUAUUUCAUGUUGAUGUUAUUAUUGGUUAUUAGUUAUUUUAUGUUUUAGGGUAGUUUGGGGUGGGGGUUUUUUUGUUUAAUUAGAUUGAAAGCCCGGGCUCAACCUAGGAACUGCAUUUAAAACUGGCAAACUAGAGUAUAGGAGAGGAAAGGGAAUUUCAGGUGUAGCGGUGAAAUGCGUAGAUAUCUGAAGGAACAUCAAUGGCGAAGGCAGCUUUCUGGACUAAUACUGACACUGAGGUACGAAAGCGUGGGUAGCAAACAGGAUUAGAUCCCUGGUAGUCCACCCGUAAACGAUGACAAUCUAGCCGUUGGGAGGG